UACGGGGGGGGCAAGCGUUGUUCGGAAUUACUGGGCGUAAAGGGUUUGUAGGUGGCUUGCUAAGUCAGACGUGAAAUCCCUCAGCUUAACUGGGGAACUGCGUCUGAGACUGGUGAGCUUGAGUGCAGGAGAGGAACGCGGAAUUCCAGGUGUAGCGGUGAAAUGCGUAGAUAUCUGGAGGAACACCGGUGGCGAAGGCGGCGUUCUGGACUGCAACUGACGCUGAGGGGCGAAAGCGUGGGGAGCGAACGGG
rnacentral:rRNA from 1 species